CCUGGUGGUGCUAUGUUUAAGUGCUUGGUUACUAACCAAAAAGUUGGUGGUUCAAACCCAUCCAUCAGCU
rnacentral:tRNA from 1 species